rnacentral:lncRNA from 1 species
GGAUUCGAACUUGGGUCUCGGGUACCAACCACCAAGCCCUUUGCCACUUGCUCUAAGGAUAGGUAAUAAUGUGGUGUUUAUAUGGUGAUAUAUAUAUAUAUAUAUACAUAUAUAUAUAGUCCGGCUAGGGUACUAUCGAUAGCACCAAGAAUUUAGUGCUAUCGAGUUUUCCACUGUAAGAUUUAACCUUUUGAUUAUUUUUACCGGUUAGAUUAUACUAUUCAAUCAACCACUCACUCAACCCUAGGGGGCCCACAUCAUCCUAACCAUCAAUUUCUCAAUCUAAGAGCUAAAAAAUUAAUAGCACCAAUAACUUGGUACUAUUGAUAGUAUUUCAGCCUAGUUCUAUAUAGAGUCCGGCUAGGGUACUAUCGAUAGCACCAAAAAUUUGGUGCUAUCGAGUUUUUCACCGUAAGAUUUAACCUUUUGAUUAUUUUUACCCGUUAAAUUAUACUAUUCAACCAACCACUCACUGCCAAGAAUUGUAGAGAGAGAUUUUUAAUAUUUUUUAAGUGAGA